rnacentral:rRNA from 1 species
GACGAACGCUGGCGGCGUGCUUAACACAUGCCAGUCGAACGAAGAGCGAUGGAAGCUUGCUUCUAUCAAUCUUAGUGGCGAACGGGUGAGUAACGCGUAAUCAACCUGCCCUUCAGAGGGGGACAACAGUUGGAAACGACUGCUAAUACCGCAUACGAUCUAACCUCGGCAUCGAGGAUAGAUGAAAGGUGGCCUCUACAUGUAAGCUAUCACUGAAGGAGGGGAUUGCGUCUGAUUAGCUAGUUGGAGGGGUAACGGCCCACCAAGGCGAUGAUCAGUAGCCGGUCUGAGAGGAUGAACGGCCACAUUGGGACUGAGACACGGCCCAGACUCCUACGGGAGGCAGCAGUGGGGAAUCUUCCGCAAUGGACGAAAGUCUGACGGAGCAACGCCGCGUGAGUGAUGACGGCCUUCGGGUUGUAAAGCUCUGUUAAUCGGGACGAAAGGCCUUCUUGCGAAUAGUUAGAAGGAUUGACGGUACCGGAAUAGAAAGCCACGGCUAACUACGUG